rnacentral:SRP_RNA from 1 species
UCGUGCUAGGUGGGGAGCUGGCGGUGCCCUGUAACCGGAAAUCCGCUUUACGCCGGGCUGAAUCCCCACUUGAGGUUCGUACGUCACUUGGUCAGGCUGGCGCUGCGCGGCGUUGAUGGGCUGGUCCUGCGCGGCGGCGACCCGCGAACCCCGUCAGGUCGGGAACGAAGCAGCGGUAAGUGGUGCUCGCCGGGUGCCGCAGGGGUGCCGGGCCGGAGCAAGCGAGCGCUGGGUCGCAGGUGGCGGCGGAUCGAGAGUGGGUGCACGA